rfam:Schistosoma haematobium scaffold983_6, whole genome shotgun sequence.
ACUUAGCUGAUGAGUCCCGGAGUGAACAUCAAUUCCGAGAUCUAGGUAUAUACAGCUGAUGAGUAUCAAAUAGGAUGAAACGCACGUCAAACUAGAU